ensembl:snRNA U1 U1 spliceosomal RNA
AUACUUACCUGGCAAGGGAGAAACCAUGAUCAUGAAGGUGGUUUUCCCAGGGCAAGGCUUAUCCAUUGCACUCCAGAUGUGCUGACCCCUGCAAUUUCCCCAAAUGUGGGAAACUCGACUGCAUAAUUCAUGGUAGUGGGGGACUGCUUUCAUGCUUUCCUGUU